rnacentral:rRNA from 1 species
GACGAACGCUGGCGGCGUGCUUAACACAUGCAAGUCGAGCGAUGAAACACCUUCGGGUGCGGAUUAGCGGCGAACGGGUGAGGAACACGUGAGGAAUCUGCCUUCCACUCUGGGAUAACUCCGGGAAACCGGGGCUAAUACCGGAUACUUUCAACUGGCGGCAUCGCCGGUUGAAGAAAGUUUUUCGGUGGAAGAUGACCUCGCGGCCUAUCAGCUUGUUGGUGAGGUAAAGGCUCACCAAGGUGACGACGGGUAGCCGGCCUGAGAGGGCGACAGGCCACAAGGGGACUGAGACACGGCCCAGAACCCUGCGGGAGGCAGCGGUGGGGAAUAUUGGGCAAUGGAGGAAACGCUGACCCAGCGACGCCGCGUGAGGGAUGAAGUCCUUCGGGUUGUACACCGCUUUCAGCAGGGAAGAAGCGAAAGUGACGGUACCUGCAGAAGAAGCACCGGCUAACUAUGUGCCAGCCGCCGCCGUAA